rnacentral:lncRNA from 1 species
CUCUACCCCAGGGUAGGGAUAAGGUCUGCGUACGUACUACCCUUCUAAGACCCCACUAAGUGGGAUUAUACAGGGUUGUUGUUGUUCUUUGAAGGAUUGGACUUUGUGCAUGUAGUUUGAAUGGCCUGUCUUUGUUUGGCAACUCUCAUUGGAAGUUGCCUUACGUUUGCAUCUGCAUUCACCCUACCGUCCCAAAUUUUAUCUUUUGUACGAGCCUUCUUACGUUUUCCACUAUGCAUUGGUGAUAUGUCACCUUUUCUUGCUGACUCUGUCCAGCAUUGAUUUAGUAUAUCAUCUUCAUCACCCUCUACAUAUGUAUCUCUGCCCACAAUCACCGAAUUUGGUAUGUUUUGAUCAAAGCCUUGUGUCACCAUAGUGUUUCCAUCCUAUUUUUUAACCAAAGCUGUCUUGUUUUGUGCUAUGUUUUACAAUUUUUUCCUGCUCCAACUCACACGACAAGUGCUAGAAGCAAUAACAUUUAAAGAUCGAGGAUCUGAACUUACCAUUGCAUCUAGUAGUUGUUGCUCCUCUAAUGAAAUCACUGGUGUUGAUGCCACAAUUUGUUUCUGCCCAAAAUUUGAUGUUGUUGCUCCUUUUCGAUCGUCAGAAGGACCAAUAGCUGGAGUGACUGGAUAGAGUUGGUGUUGCUGUUUAUUAGCAUUUGAAAGUGCUAUUGAUGAUUAUUAGCAUUUGAAUGUACUGCUGUUUGUUCCUGAUUAGCACUUGGCAGUACUGCUGCUAUUUGCUGGUGCUGUUGUUCAGUUUUGGAGAUUACAGCUUUUGGUACAUUUGCAAUUUGCGGUUGCUGUUCAAAAACUGCUGUGGUUACUGUCUUUUGUUCGUCUGCACAUGUAAUAGCUUGUGUGACUGUAAUAUCUUCCUGUUGGUUGGGCCUACUUGAUGUUGCAUUUUUCUUUCGAAAAAUCUCCUGCUAUACCUAUUCACACUAUUGCUGUCCAGUUUUAGGCAAAAAACUGGUGCUUUCACGUUAAGUUUGCUGCUGGAAAUUAGCAUUGCAGGACUGCUUAUUUUUGGUACUGAUGGUGAACCAACUGAGAGUAAGUCUUCAUCUUCACUCUCUUAAUAAGUCUUCAUCUUCACUCUCUUAAUCAUUAUCCUCGCUCGAAUUCCCAACAUACGCAUCACCAUAAUCUUCCUCAUCAUCAUAUUCGCGGUUAUUUGCCCAUAGCUUAGAUUUGAUUGCUAUCACCCUCAAGUUUGCCUUUAUAACUUCAUUGUUAUUUCCAUAUGACAAUAUCAACUCACCUCCAUAUUCACCACAAGAUCCAAAGACUGUGAUGGCACCUCAUAAACUGAGGUGUUCAAUGUGACCAUUAGUUGUUUAACCAUGUUAGUAUGCAUCAUCAUUGCAUUUUGGGCAUCUUUGAUAAUUUGUUCAACACGAGGGCUGGAAAAAUGCAAAGUAGGAAUGUUAGAGCUAUGUUCCUUACCACUUAAUUCCUCCAUCCCAUUUUUCUUUGAAGCCUGCUGUCGCACACCAAUUUUCCAUAGCCAAAUUCGCAUUGGCUUGAGCUUCUUUUCCACUACUAGGGCAUGGAACUAUUUGCUUGGUCAUCUUAUCAUGUUUUAGACUUGUUGAAUCCAGUUGUUCAUCCUCUAUAGAUGCCAGUGCGUCAAAGACAUUUGGGUUGGCCACCAAGCUAUUUUCAUUUCGUCGAACAGCUUGAACCUGUCGUUUUGGUGAUAGUCCUUUCUUUAUAGGAGAUUUUUUGGUGUUUACCACAUUCCAAACUUCUCCUUUUCUAUUUUGAUCCUUCCCCGUAUCAUCACUCUUUGCAUAUCCUGCCUUAUCGUCCAAUAAUUCACCUUUUUUUCUUCUCUCUUCUCCUCAAAAGGUCUGGGACUCACUAUUAUUACAGACCAUUGGUGCUGCAAUUUGCCCAGCUGCUUCAGUGCCUAGAUUUUGGACCUCACUUUCAAUUACAAUCUGUGGAACCUUAGCACCUGGACUCUGUACCAUAGCUCCUCGAUCAUUAGACUGAAAUUGCCUCGACUCACCAGCUCGAUCAAAAGCCUCUUUCAAUCUGCUGCAGAUAAUGCAACAACUGCAUUAUUAGAAUAAUGCAACUUAUCAUAUGAUUGCACAUCUGGAUUUACUGCCUCGAAAUUUUGCAAAACCUGAUGACCAACUACAGGUUCUUUUGAGCCUGUAAUAAUUGCAGACUCCACACCAUCAUUCACUACAUGUUGUUGAACCUUCUGAAUCACCUCAUUACUAAUAGGAUCACUUUUAUUGUUCUCAAUUUCCUUAACACAAUCUGCAGCAAUUUUUGAAAUUCCACCAGGUGACAAUAUAGCUGCAGCACUAGCCAGCUUGUCAUAGGCUUGUGCAACUGAUUCACAAUAUUAGAAAUUCUUGCUAAGGCAAUUCUAGCAGGGACAUCUCGACAAGGUUUAGCUUGACCCUUACCAAUUUCUCCAACCUCACCUACAGGAAUAUCAUUAACUACUCGGUUCAUCACAUCCUGAUUGAUCACAUUAUACUUUGUUUUCCUCCUUCAAUUUGCACGACCUGCUGAUCACCCACAACUUCUUUUGUUGCAUCACCUCCUUGUUUACCAUCCUUUUCAGAUAAAUCCUUACCAAUUUGUCCAGCUCUUUUACCAAUUAAAUAAUCCCUUGCAUCACCUUGUAGUUUUUCCAUAACCGGACCAUCUGCCUCGACCAAAACAUGUCCAACGUGAACUGCUGCCCCUGUUACUUCCUCUGUCAACCCCUCUAUUCCAGCUUGUUCCUUCUUAAUUCGACACACCUUUUUGUCAUGUCCUUGAUGCUUGCAAUAAGUGCAAUAGUUAUGAAGGUUUUCAUACACCACCUCCUGAUAGUGCACGAUUAUUUUACCCGAAAUUCUAUCCACAAUCUGUAGCUUAACCUUCCUAGGAUGUUUGUCUAGUAAAUCAAGAAUAACAUUGACCCUAGCGACACUAGGUCGUGUUCUUUCUUGUGUUGCCUUGUCUACAGCAAGAGCCUUACCAACAGCUGAAGAGAUAGACAUUAACGACCUCUUAGCGAAGAAAUUAGGUGGCAAACCUGGAAAAGAAAUCCACACGGCUGCCAUGGACGUUUCCUCCUUCGGAUUAAAUCCUAACGUCCGAGGAAAAGUUCUAAAAAAGAAUUCAUCACCCUUAGACUUAAUAUAUCCAGUCGUCUUUGACAAGAACUGAACAUAAUCACUAUAAAGAUCAAAUCUAACUAACAGAUGACGGAAUUCAAGCUGUCCAAUGUUGCAGCCACCUUGAACGUCGAAUUGCGUCGAAAAUAUUUUUCUAAUCUCCUGUAAUUCAGGCUUUCCAUAAGAGAAUUUCUUCACGACAGCUUGAUAAGAAUGGACCUUGGGCCUAACUCAACCCCAAAAGCUAGCUUAUGAGGUGAGGAUNNNNNNNNNNNNNNNNNNNNNNNNNNNNNNNNNNNNNNNNNNNNNNNNNNNNNNNNNNNNNNNNNNNNNNNNNNNNNNNNNNUCUAGUAUCAGGGUUGUAGGAUAGGGGCUCCUAGAGUUUUUCGUACUCCUCACCCGGGGUUGGGUGAGGCUUGGCAGGGCUAUCCAUAGAUGGUUUGUGUUUUGGCUUGUGUCUUCCUUAUGGUAGUUAUUUUUAUGGUAGUUACUGUAUGAUAUUAUUGCAUGCUAUUUUAUUUAUGUUUCUUAUAUUUAGAUAAUUAUUUACGCUAUUUGAUAAGAAUGGACCUUGGGCCUAACUCAACCCCAAAAGCUAGCUUAUGAGGUAACGAUUGUCCAAGCCAUAUAAGGAGACCAAGGACCUCAAAUCCCUCCGAUGUGGGACAACUCAAGNNNNNNNNNNNNNNNNNNNNNNNNNAAAGCCAUAUAAGGAGACCAAGGACCUCAUAUCCCUCCGAUGUGGGACAACUCAAGAGAUUUUGGGUUGUCUCUCCCAUAGCCAAAGGCUGGGGAGAGCUUGCAGCAGCUGUGGCUGCCACGCGCACAAGAAACACGCAGAUUUCUAGAGAGAGAAAGAAUAGAGAAGAUGUACAGAGUGAAUAUUCUUUUUGUAAAGAAUAUGUAAUUGUUGAUCUCUUAUUUUUGUACAUGAUAUAAAUUUACUCAAAAUCCUAGCUUCAUGUUGUAUUUUUUAUUGUUUCUCUCAGGUUCUAGUUACUUAACAUUCCUAUCUCUUAAAUUGCACUCUGCUUUUACAACAAAAUGCGAGUGUAGCUACAACUUUCGUUAACACCUUUAUUAUAUUUGUAGGAAAAAAAAUUGGGGAGGAAGAUAAGUCAUGAUGAACUCUUCAUGGAGACUCACAUCCGGAAGAAGAAAGGACUGACAGUUCCAACUAGAUGGGUCGAGGACCAGGCAGAGCCUACACAUGUAAGUUUCAUAACUAUUAUAAAUGUUUAUAAUAUUAUAUAGUUACUAAUUUUCUAUCUUCUAAAUAAAGGGUCGCUACAAGAUCAAUUUGGCGGAAUACACUCAGAGCUUGCCACCGAAUGAGCAAGGCGAGCGACCGCCCAUUUUAGACGAAGAAGAGAAGAGGAUAUGGUUGGAUACUGUCUGUGGUCCUAAAAAGGGGAUAGCAUACGGCCUUUCAGAUAAAUUGUUUCGGCGCUACAGGACUGAUUGCAAGGUAUAGAGACUUCCGCUCAAGGUGAGACAAUUGAUAGUUCGGCUAUAUCGGCAAAGAAGAUCGCAAAGCUGAUAGCAGAGCUUCAAGAGACCAAGGCUAGUGAAAAGAAGAGAUUUCAUAUCCUUCAAGGUCAGCUAGAAAGGAGGGACAAACAAUUUGAUCUCCUUCAAGGUCAGCUGGCUUGUGGUGCUUUCCCCAUUCCUCGGACUCCUUCUCCGUUCCCACUUGCUAGCGAUGAAGGUCCUAAAACCGAAGAUGGAAAUGAUUGUCUUAGGACCGAAAAUGGAGAUGAUGCUACAUAAAAAAACAAUUUGAAUAUUGUGUAUUGUCAAAACAAAAUUGUGAACUUGUUAAUAUUUUGUUGUUGGUUAUUUGAAUGACGAUUACAUUGUUAUUUUAUUAUUGAACACUUUAAUAGUUGCUGUGGUUAUUAGUUGUUGGUUAGUUGUUGUUAUUUUGUUGGAUUUUCAAUAAGCUGUCAUUAUAGGAUGUAUACUGGUUUAAAUUGGCAAGUGGUGCAGCUUAAAAGCAGCUAUUUCUUGCCAAGUUCUUACCCAAAUUUCCGACUGCAUUCGGUCGGAAAUUAAUUUUUUUCCCUAGAAUUUCAUAAUUUCCAACCGAAUCGGUCGGAAAUUAUGAAUUCAUAUUUAUUUUUAAUAAAUUAAUAAUUUACAAAAAUUAUUUAAUUAAAUAAUAUUAUUAAUUUUUAAUAGUUUCGUUUGAUUUCGAUCAAAUUAAAUAAUAAUAUUUUUCGAUCGAUUUCCGUCGAAAAUUUGAAAAUUAAAAUAAACAUUUAAUAGUGUGACUGGUAGUCCACGAGUUGAAUUUUCUGACCGGUUUCGAUCGAAAAUUUCAGACCAAUUGCGGUCGGUGUACUUUUGCGACCAUUAUUUUUUUGUCCAAUUAAAAGCGGUCGGAAUUAUGGACGAAAAUCACGUAAUUUCUAGUAGUUUUUUCUUUUUUUUAAGAUUUGAUGUUCGAAAGCAUAAUUAAAAUUGAAAAAAUUCAAUUCUCGAAAUUUGAAUGGUACAAAUUACAUUGAGUCCUAGGGAGCAUAUCGAUACAGAAUUAUGAUUUUAUUCUUUAUUACCCCUCUACUAGAAUGUGUUAUAAUUGUGCUUUUGUGUUUCGCUCACUUCUAAAGAAAAUUGAUGUAGAUAAGAAAAGGAGUCCCAAGUUGAACUCGAAGACGAGUCUAAGGCUAACUAUAUAAUAAACUUGUAAAUAAUAACCUAUACAAAUUGGGGUAUUCGUAUUUAUACAUGUUUUUUGAGUCUUGUUUUAAUUUAUGUCUGCUUUGCAAAAUAAAAUGCAAGUGUACUUACUUUUUCGCGUAAUUUCAGGAUAGGGAGCUGACGUAGCAAAGGCAAUCAUGUAAAACUUCAGGAUUCUAGUAGACGGGACUGAAGUGUGCUGAAGUUUUUAUUUUGUAACUAACGAACUUCUAAAGUUUUAUUUUUUGUAACUGAAGAACCUCGGCUCUAGAGCUCAUGUUUUUCUUUUAUAACUGUUGAACUUCAGCUCUAGAGCUGUAGUUUUUGUUUUUGUAACUGACGAAUUUCAGCUGUAGAGCUGAAGUUUUUGUUUGUAACUGGCGAGCCUCAGCUCGAGCUACAGAGCAAUCAAUCAAUGCAAACAUCAAACGCUAAACUUGUUGAUGGAUUCCCUCCUAAAUCUGUUACAUAAUUCACAUUGAACAGACACAAAAUUAAACAAACUAUACUAUCAAAUAGAGCUCAACACAACAUUAUUUUAUGUAGAAAGUAGCUAACAUACGAGGGUGGUUUUGUUCGCCAUCGAUGUAUUUAUGAAGUGACCCGCCAGCAAGUCCUAGUACUAUUAAAUAAACUACCAAAUUUAUGACUAAGAAUGGUCCCAUUAGGCUUCUGCCGCCCCUUCCGUUCGCCAUUAUUUGAUUAACUUUAUUAAGCUCAGCUGAGAGUAAUUAGAGUUCCACUGCUUUUGCUUGAAGUAUUGAUUGUUGCAUGUCUGGUUUUCUCCUGAAAAUAGGAGUUGAGUGUUUUGGUUGUUAGGAUACGUGGUCGCUUCAAGUGGACUCCAUUGCUGCACUUUACAGGGGUUACAACUUGAGGAGGAGAAGGAGAAGGAGAAAUGGGCUGAAGUUGUUUAAAAAAUAGGUACAAGUUAAAAGUUUUUAAAAAAAUUGGUAUAAGUUAAAUGGGGACGACCAAAUAGAGCGUCUCGUGCAAUUUUUACAUACAAAUUGUACAUAAUAACCUAUCAUGUAUAAAAUAGCCUAGCACAUGCGGGUCUUGGCAUUGGGCGGGCUAGGUUGGGCCGGUCUAUUAUUUUGAUGGGUCUUAAAAUUAAGAAAUUUUUUGGUUCCUAUACCAUAUAGGAAAUUAUAUUACAAAAAAUGUUAAUGAUUUGUAAAUUACCCGCCCUGCUAACAGUUUUUCUACAAAAUAUAAACACCUCAUUUAAAACAGAAUUUUGUUACUUGUACAAUUCCUUUAAUAGGCGCGCGAAUAUUGAAAUAUUAAGGGUUCUUUCCGAUUUUAUCAAACGCAAAUCUUGCUAUUAAAUUUCUCCCAUUUCUCUCCAAUCAAUAAAUUUCGCCCGUUUCACUCCAAAAAUUCACUAUUCUGUUUUUAGGCAAUACUUUGUUUCACUAGUUUUUCUGAUUUUACAAAUCAAAAGCGACUAAAUUAGCUAAAAUUCUUUUGUAACAACCGCAUUUAUGUCGAAAAUCUCAAUUAUGCUUCAACUGAAUGAGAAUUAGGAUAACUAUGAGAAAUAUAGAGACUUUCAGGUCGAUGAAUUGUAGUCGGCGAGGAUACGAGUUAUAGCCUAUUGAAUUCUAUGUACAACAGUACGUGAUUUCAAUUUGGAUUGAGUAUCACUAAUCCGAACACAGUUGCAAGUUUGUUCUAUUGCAUUACUAUCGAAUUUUGGUUGUAUAUUACUUAUCAAUAAAUUAUGUAUAAUUUUUCUAUUACGUGUCAAAGUCUAUAUGUACAUUAGUAUUGAAUUUCAUUCUAUCUACAUUAUUUCUACAAUAAAACUAUAUAUCAUUUGUAGCUCAAUAUGAAAUACAGAAUUUUAAUAUUUUUACAAAUUAACUACAAAAUAUCUACAAAAAAAAUAAAAGAUUAUUUAGAUAUUUUGUAUUCUGAUUGUAAUCUUAUUUUUUAUUUGUAAUGUAAUUGUAGGUGAGGAUUUCAUAUCAUAUCCAUACAGUGAUAGAUGGUGUGAAGCGCUAUAUUGUUUGUCUCAAAAACAAUAGCUAUGGACAAUUCCAGUUUGAUGAACUUCCUUGUGCACAUGCUUUGGAUUCUUCAAGGCACAGGAAUGAGUCUUAGGAAAACUAUUGAUGAGUUCAAGAGAAUUAUAUUUGAUGUAUAAUAGUUUAUGCACCUUCAACUCUUAAUGUAGUUAGUUUGAAAUUAUUUUGUUUAAUUAGUAUUCUGUAUGGAGUUAAUACUUUUUAUAGCUUGAUUGGUUUGUGAAUGAUUUUGAUAUAUAUAAUACACAAUUGUUUUAUUAUCUCUAGCACCCAUCGAUAGUUGUUAAUGAUCCUUAUAAUUUAUCUACCAAAAAACUACAAAAUAACUACAUAAUCUGGAGUUGAUGAAGUAACCACAUAAUAAUUAAGUUGAAAAGGAGUUAACCAAUAACAAUAAUUAGAUCAAGUACUGUUUACUUUCAACAAGUGAAAUAUAAAAACAACAUAAUGUUUUCCCAUUGUUCGAACUAGUAUACUGGAUAAAAUAAAAAUAAAGGGUAAAAUAAUUGUAGCACAAAUCUACUACAAUUAAACUUCAACAAUCUUGUUCAUAAACUUGUCUACUAGCUUUUUACAAAAUUAGCCGCAACUAAAUAAUUUAACUACAUGUUCCAUACAAAAAAAUGCAACUAAUUCUUCUUUCUCCAGACUUGUGUUUUCUCGUUCACAAUUGAUGCAUUUUUUUUCCUUGCUAAGUUGCCUGUCACAUCACUUUCACUAAUUGCACCAUUCUCUUGCUUUUUCCUAGCAUAGUCCCACAGUAGUGCUCCAUAGUUUAUACGAUGUUGCACCAAUCUCUUAUUAAUACACUGCUCCAAUCUAAAAAAAAAUAACAUAUCUACAUUUGUCAUACAAAUAUAUCUAUUAUAUAUUUACAACUACAUAAUACACUUAAUUUGGCUAGGAAUACUAGGGUCACAUAAUGUUUGGAAUCUAAGCACCACAUAAUCAACAUUAAAAAAAAAGUACAACCCAGUAUAAUCCCACUUAGUGGGGUCUGGAGAGGGUAGUGUGUACGCAGACCUUACCCNNNNNNNNNNNNNNNNNNNNNNNNNNNNNNNNNNNNNNNNNNNNNNNNNNNNNNNNNNNNNNNNNNNNNNNNNNNNNNNNNNNNNNNNNNNNNNNNNNNNNNNNNNNNNNNNNNNNNNNNNNNNNNNNNNNNNNNNNNNNNNNNNNNNNNNNNNNNNNNNNNNNNNNNNNNNNNNNNNNNNNNNNNNNNNNNNNNNNNNNNNNNNNNNNNNNNNNNNNNNNNNNNNNNNNNNNNNNNNNNNNNNNNNNNNNNNNNNNNNNNNNNNNNNNNNNNNNNNNNNNNNNNNNNNNNNGCAUCCUUACCUCCAAGAACUACCCACCUUUGCUCUUGGGGAGACUCGAACUCACAACCUCUCGGUUGGAAGUGGGGGUUGCUUACCAUCAGAGCAAGUCCCUCUUGUCCCACAUAAUCAACAUUAUGGGAUGCAAAACAAUGUCCAUUCUACACAAAAUAUAAAUAAUCUCAUAUUAAUUCAGUGCUUAAAAAACAUAGAUAUAUUUGUAAUUUAUAUACAGAAUAACUACAAAAAAUCUACAAUUUUAAAUAGCUAUAAUUAAUCUUUAAAAUGAAGACAAAUAAUCUAUAAGGCAAAAAAAAGAUACAGACUAUGUAGAUUUUUAACAACUAAAACAAAUGAAAUAACUAGUGAAGAAAUUACUAAAUUCUUACCUUCACCAAUGACUGUUUUCGAACAUUUUUAGGAGAUUUAACACGAGGGGAUUCUUUUGAAUUUUUCUUCUUUUUGGGAGUUUUUACACUGGGAGACACCUUUGCUUUCUUUCCAGGUUUACUGAUAGGCACAUAUUCUACAAAAUUAUCAUCAGCUUCUCCAGCUUUUUUAGGACUGUGCUUUAAAGGGUUGUUCUUCUUUGUUGAAAAAAUUUGAAGCUGAAGGGAAAUGUGUGUAUGAACUUUGAAAAAUUGACUUCAAUUUUGAUUAAUUGUAGAACAAAAAACUUGAAAUUAGAUGUUAAUGGUGGGGGUUACUUAUGUUUCUCUGGUUUAACAUAGGAAAAUAUGUGAAAGAAAUGUGAAUGUGGGUCUCGGAGAGAGAAACGUGUGUAGGAGGGGGGAAGAGAGAUUUGGAAAAAUAUACGGUACCAUUAAUUUAGGAGCGAUACGGUAUAAUUAGCCUUGCCUUACAUGGGCCACAGGCUGGCCCAUUUACAUUUCCAUCCUAUAUUGUCUUUUACCCAAUAAAUGAAGUUUGAAAAGUUGGCAUAACUUCUCUGCCUUCCUCUUAAUUAUUGGGGCAAGUGCACAUAUUAACAUUCUUUAUUUAAAGAUUGUCAGUAUUUUGUCCUGAAAUUUUAAAUAAAAAAUUUAAAUUUUAUAAUAAUUUAGGACAAUUUUUCCUAAAAACGUAAACUGAAAAAUUGAAAUUCAGGAUGCAUUGGCUAAUUUUCUAAAGAGCAGCCCUUUAGAGUGAUUACAUGGUGUUAUUUCCAUUUAUAGCCUGUUUGGCCAAGUUUUUCUUUUUUUUUUUUAUCAAAAGCACUUUGGCCAAAAAUUGAGAUGUUUGGCCAAGCUUUUGGAAGGAAAAAAAGUACUUUCGUGAAGAAGCAGAAGCAGUUUUGGAGAAGCAGAAAAAGUAGUUUCUCUAAAAGCAAAAGCACUUUUCUGAGAAUUAUUUUUGAGAAAAUACAUUUAGAAGUAAUUUUUAAAAGCUUGGCCAAACACUAAUUACUACUCAAAAGUGAUUUUCUAAUUAAUUAGCCAAACACAAACUAUUUCUCACCAAAAGCACUUUUUACAAUAGUACUUUUGAGAAAAGCACUUCUCAAAAUAAGCUGAUUUUAGAAGCUUGGCCAAACAGGCUAUUUAUUAUUGAGAAAACUACUCUCUAUAGCCCCUCAAAAUUUUAAUAGCCCAUGUUUUCUCCUACUUACAAAAAAAUGGCUCUUCGGCCCAAACGUAUUGCAUAUAGUAGCCGAAAGGAAUAAGCAUGACAACAUAAACGCCUGUAGCUCAGUGGAUAGAGCGUAUUUUUCCUAAGCUGAAGGUCUCAGGUUCGACCCUACCGGCGCGAUAGAGCAACCCUUUUUUGCCUUUUUAAAUAUACUUCGGGAGCUGAUAAGUAUUAGCUAAUGAUUGAAUAAAAUAUGUAAUGCAGGUCAUACGAAAUGUCUAUUUUUGUAUAUAUUUUUUUUUAAUACAGUCUAUUUUUAUAUAUUUUUGUAUAAUAACACACUAUUUUUGUAUAUUUUUUGCAUAGUGACAGUCAAUUUUGUAUUUUGUUUAUAUAGUAACAGUCUAUUUUGUAUAUUUUUUGUAUAGUAAUAAUCUAUUUUGUAUGGUGACAAUCUAUUUUGUAUAUUUUUUGUAUAGUAAAUGUCUAUUUUUUAUAGUGACAAUCUAUUUUAUAUAUAUUUUGUAUAGUGAGAGCUAAUUGUAUAUAAAUUGUAUAGCGGCAGUCUAUUUAUUAUAUUUUUAUAUAGUGAUAGACUAUUUUGUACAUAUUUUGUAUAAUGACAGUCUAUUUAGUAUAUUUUUUGUAUAAUGAUAUUCUACUUUUGUAUAUAUUAUAUAUGAUGACACUCUAUUUGUAUAUAAAUUGUAAAGUGACGGUUUAUUUUGUAUGUGUAAUAUAUACACACCAUGUAUUAUCAUGUAUUUUAAGAUGUAUUCCCAAUGUAUCAUUAAUGUAUUCGAGUGCUUUUAUGUAUUCAAAGUGUACAAACUAUUCUACUAUAUAUAAAAUGAUGUGUAAAAGGUGUAUAUAUAUUUUAUGAUUUUUGAUUGUUCUAUAAACUUAUAUAUUUUUUGUAUAAGUAAUAUUAUAUGUUAUAUAAUUCCUUCGAUGGGUUCGAGGAGAAUGUUCCCGACUUACCUCGCUUCUACUGAUUUUUCAUUUUUGUCUUGUUGGCAAUCUAGUAAGUGUCAAGAAGUAAUUCCCAUAAGCAUUUUUCCUAAUUAUCAAUACAAAAAGUGAAUUGAAAAAAUAAAACCAAGUAGAAAAAAAUCGAACAAAGAAGAAGUCGAGAGAGACGUUAAUCUGAAAACAGUAGUAAUAUCAAAUUCGGCCAUUGAUGCAACUUCGAGAAAAUGGCCGGCGAAGGAAAAUAUAAGGUGGCCUGCAGCCGUACCUUAUUUUUAUGUUAUCUCUUAACCUAUAACUUAUUUUAAAAGUUAUUGAUUACGUAAUCAACUAACAAAAAAUUCGUAAUAAUAUGACCAUUAUACUUCUUCCAAAAUAUAUAUAAGUCUGUCUCUCCUUCGUAUUCUCAUAUUCAAAUUUCAAAUCUCCUCUGUUUCUCCUCCACCAGUCCGUCUCCCCGUAGAUCGCGUCUUGUAUUCAAAUUCAAAUUCAAAUACAUUAUAAGUAUUUUUUGAAUUAUAUGUUUUCUGAUUGAUUGAUUGAAGUUGUUUGAGCAACUUCACUGAUAUGCUGAAUUCGCAAUUCUAAAUCUAUUUGAUGAUGAAUUCUAACAUUUUAAGCUGAAGUUAUUUAGUUAACGAGCUGCCAAAUAAUACAACGAAGAAGAAAUUAUAUUAAAACGAACAUUAUGUAAUUGUCUUAAAACUUCGGCAUGGUUGUUGAAGUUUUUUUGUUAAUAAUUAAUAGCUGAAAUUUUCCUCGUAAACUGGGUAAAAAACAAUAAAACAUAAAUUAAAAUUUCAUACUGCAUCAAAAAACUUCGACAUAGUUGCUUAAGUUUUUUAGUUAUUACUUAAAAACUGCAGCAGAAGGAGCUGAAGUUUUCCUCCUACACUGGUUAAAUUAAAAUUUCAUACUGCAUCAAAAAACUUUGGCAUAUUUGCUUACAGGAGGAGCUGAAGUUUUCCUCAUACUUGCUAAAUUAAAAUUUCAUACUGCAUAAAAAACUUCGGCAUUGUUGCUUAGGCUUUUUAGUUAUUACUUAAAAACUUCAGUAGGAGGAGCUGAAGUUUUCCUCCUACACUGGCUAAAUUAAAAAUUCAUAGUGCAUCAAAAAACUUCGGCCUAGGUGCUGAAGUUUUUUACUUAUUACAUAAAAACUUUAGAAGGAGGAGCUGAAGUUUUCCUCCUCCUCUCCUAAAUUAAAAAAUCAUAUUGUGCCAAAAACUUCAACACUUACUGGCUAUAGUUUUUUUCCCCUGUAUUGAUGAACAUCAUACAAAAACUCCAGCCCAAUGUGCUGAAAUUUCUUAGUUCAUUUCUAAGAACUUCAGCAUUGAAUAAGUUGAAGUUUUCUGUGCAGGAUUGAUUAGUUAUGUCAUACAUCUUUUACCAAGAAACUUCAGCAGAAGAUGCCUAAGUGAUUUAGUUAAUUUGUAAAAACUUCAGCACAAACAACCUAAAAACUAUUCUAUUUCCUUUCCUAAUAAUUUUCACUAAACAUGAAUCUGCAGGAUGAGUUCGAUUUCCGUUGUUAUAAAUAUCAAUGGGAGUUGGACUACUGAUUUCAAAUACUUGGAUCAUGAUACAAAACUUGUUCUAGUUAAUAAGGGCAUAUCAUUCAAUACUUUCCUGAAGAAAAUUAGUGAAGUUGCAAAUAUUGAUUCAACCAGAUAUGCAUUAAAAGUAUGAUUUGAUAUCAAACUAAAUACAAGCAAAGAAAUGCUUGUAACUUCAUAUGAAGAACUCAAUACGUGUAUUCACAUUUGCUUACAACUGAUUCAGCCUACAAGAAUUUCCAUUUCGUCAUUGAAAAAAUACAACCUUCACAAUCUCUUGCAUAUGAGAUAGAUUCAAAACCUUUUGCUUACUAUCAACAUGAACUACGACAACCAAUAAUGGAAGUAGACAACGGGCAACAACCUUAUAACAUUACAGCUGUUUCAGAAUACAUAGUGCUCAAUUACCUCAUCCACUAAUAAAUUCGUACCAGUUUGUCGAUGACCAAGAAGAAGAAGGACACCUAAUAAUGCGAAUUAAUAAGCAACAAACAGUCCCAAAAAGCUUUUUGUUACCUUCUGCAAUGAUAAGAAACAAUGGAGAUGAAGUAAACACUGAGCUUAUACCGAUAACAUCCGAUAGAAUUGAAGAAAUUGCUGAAAGUUCUUGCGCUCCUCAGAAAUCAAGAGAAAGACUGAAGAGAAAGUUGAAAUAAUCUCCACCAUGUAAAAUACUUAGGCACAAUGCGCUGCCUGAGAAAGUAAGAGUUGGAUCCAUUUUUGAGAACAAACAAAACAUGACUAAAUUUUUCUGCAGCUUGGAGAUAAACAAAAAAGUUGAAUUCACUCCUGUUAGAUCAUGUUCUAAGAGAUAUGAGCUAAAAUGCAUCAUGGUCAAAUGUUGUUGGAAUGUACGUGCUACCAGAAUAAAAAAUUCUAUACUGUUCAGGGUGAUAAAAUAUCAUAACAUCCAUAAAUACUGGUUGAUGCAAGAAAAUGAGAUCAGAAGCAUGCUACAUCAAAUUUUAUAAGUGAAAAAAUUAUAGAACAUGUUCGAGACAAAAUGAUAGAGGUUACACCAGUCUUUGUAGAAAACGAAAUGAAAAAGAAAUUUGGAGUUGACAUUAGUUAUCACAAGGCAUGGCGUGCCAUUCAAAAAGAUGUUUCUUGCAUAAGGGGAACACCUAAAGUGAAUUACCAGAUUCUUCUUUCAUACCUACACAUGAUGGUGGCCAAAAACUCAGGAAUGUACACAAGCAUAAAAAGAGAUGCACAGAAUAGGUAAGCAAAACAAUACUAACCAUCAGCCCGAAGUUACUAUUUAGAAAACUUCACACCUUAUGAUUUGUUUUUUUGUGUAUCAAUAUAUAGAUUUGCUUACAUAUUCUUUGCUCUGCGCCAUCAGUAGCUCGUUAGUCCUACUAUAGACCCGUUAUUGCAGUAGAUAGAAUGUUUUUGAAGUCAAAAUAUCAUGGUGUUCUAUUUGUUGCUAUAUCAAAGGAUGCAAACAAUAAAUUUUUUCCUCUAUGUUUCGGUAUAGCAGAUUCAGAAAACAAUGAGGCAUACAUUUGGUUCUUCGGGGAAAUGAGAAAAGCAACUCAAGCCCGUCAUGAACUGGUUUUCUUGUCAGAUAGAAACCAAUCAAUCGCAAAUGGUAUUAGAAAAGUUUUUCCUGAAGCUCACCAUGGUAUAUGCAUGUAUCACUUUGAGAAAAAUUUGAAGCAAAAACAUGCAACGGCUAUGGUAAUAAAUCUUUUCCAAAGUGCUGCAAGGUCAUACAAACGUGAAGAUUUUAAUCAGUUAAUGUCCCAACUCAAAAGUAUGACAAAAAAACAUACAAUUACAUAAUAGAAGAGGCUCCCGAGAGAUGGUCUUGAUUGUGGUUCCCACGGCAACAUUAUGAUAUAUUAACAACAAACAUGGUAGAAUCAAUGAAUUCCGUUUUACUAAAAGGGAGAGAAAUGCAUAUUUUAAGAAUGUUAGAUUUCAUCCAAGAAAAAUUGGGAGAGUGAUUUUACGAACGGAGAAAAAAGGCAAAUGAAACUUUUCAUAGAAUAUCAAUAUGGGCAGAAGAGGAAAUGACUAAGAAGAUGGACUUGGCUUACAAAAUAUUUGUGAGUAUAUUUAUUAACUUCAGUUGUUUAAUCUGUUGCACUGAUUUACUGCUUACAUUUAAAAAGAUCCAUACUUUUCUUUUUGAAGGAAAAAUACAUUAAUAUAACUUGUCUCAAUUUUUUAUUCCUUGUUAGGUGUUCAACUUUGACUCAAUGUUGUUUAGAAUAAAUAGUGAAGGAAUCGAAUUCAUUGUGGACUUAAAGAAGAGAACUUGUGACUGCGUGGAAUUUUAACUUGAUGAAUUGCCAUGUUCACAUGUAAUUACUGAUAUUAAUAAGAGAUAUUUGCGGAAAUCUGAUUACUGCUUUCCAACUUGAUGAAUUGCCCUGUUCACAUGCAAUUGCUGCUAUUAAUAAGAGAUAUUUGUAGAAAUCUGAUUACCGCUCAAAUUGGUAUUCAAGGAUAACAUGAUUGAAAACAUAUGAAAGACAUGUGAAUGCCGUGGGAGAUCAAAAAUCAUGGUAAAUACCAUAAAAUGUACGAUCUGAGAUCACAAAACCUCCUGAUGUAGAAAUUUUACAAGGAAGAAGACAAAAGAAGAGGUAUAUACCUGCAACUGAAUCAUCAGUACCAUUCAAGUCUACCAAAUGCAGUCGAUGCAAACAAGUUGGUCAUAACAGAACAACUUGCUUGUCUUCUCCAGCACCUCAUCCAUAUUCUAAGAAACACACUGAAAAGUACUCAAAUCUUCAAUAAUCCUUGGUCUGAAUUUAGACUUUUUUUAUUAUAUGACAUAAUUGAAAUGUGAUUUUUUCAUAUGAAUUAAUAAUCCUUAGUCUGAAUUUAGACUUUCUUUAUUAUAUGACAUAAUUGAAAUGUGAUUUUUUUCACAGGAAUAAAAAAUAAGGUCUUGGACACUUUUAUAUACUGCUAAAGUACGCAAUGACUUCUACGAAAAAAACUUCAGAUUGCAGUAUGUGAAAUACAUAUCCUUAAACAAACACACACACACACACACACACAAACUUCAACACCUCAUAAGCUGAAGUUUUUGUAUUGGAUUCAAUAGUUUUUGUCUUAAGCUUUUUCAAACAACUUCAGCCCAAUCUACUGAAGUUCUUUAGUAUAUUUCCAACAACUUCAGAACUUGAUCAGCUAAAGUUUUUUGUUGGAUUCAAUAGUUUUUGUCUUAACCUUUUUCAAACAACUUCGGCCCAAAGUGCUGAAGUUUUUUAGUAUAUUUCCAAAAACUUAACCACUUAAUAAAGCUGGAGUUUUUUUUUGGAUUAAAUAUUUUUUGUGUUAAAGCUUUUUCAAAAAUCUUCGGCCCAGUGUGCUGAAGUUAUUUAGUACAUUUCUAAAAACUUCAGCAGUUGUUAAGCUGAAGUUUUUGUCCUGGACUCAAUAGUUUUUGCAGUAAAGAAUUUUCAAAUAACUUACGCAUAUGCUGCUGAAGUUAUUUAGUGUAUUUACUGAUGAGCUGAAGUUUUGUCCUACAUUUGACACUUUAGUUAUGACUUUUAACCAAACAUUUAGAUUAAAAGCAAAAGUUAUUUAUUUCAUGCUCAAGUUUAGCAUGUUGAAUUUCAACAAAAAUAUACUUGAUAUUAAUGAAAAAAAGAUGUAAAUAUAUUUGAAUCAAUCCAAGUCACAUUAUUCACUCAAAAUAAUGUAUAUUCAUAAAAUACAAUUUUGUUUUCACUUACAUCCUUCGAAAAAAAGAAAAAAAUUAGUUCUUUGUAUACAAGUUAUUCUCUAUUUAAAAAAGUCACAGAGUAACUUCAUAUUCUCCAUAGCAAUGUCCUAGUUUCUCUUCUUGGUUUUCUUAACCACAUUCCAUGAACCAUCACUAUGUCUUCCACCAUAGCAUUUUCUGUCAGACGCAGGUUGACGAAGUUUAGUACUAUAAUUUUUUUAGCAACUACCAUCUUCUUUCUUAAGAAAAAAAUAAGAAAAUAUUGGCCAAAGACAUGCUGACUGGUGUGCAUAUGGAAAUUCGUGGGAAACAAAUAUAGUGAAGGAGAGGACCAUAAUACUUCACAUGUGACGGAGACUGGUCACAUCAAAAACUCGAGCCCCAGGAAAUUUGCUCUUUUUUCUAAAAGUCAGAUUUAUCAACUAGUAAAAAGAACAAAUUAUCCUCGUGCUUUAGUGUUUGAUCUGGCCACUCUCCUUCACAUAUGAAGUAUUUCGACUUCUCCUUCACUAUCUUUGCUUCCCACGAAUUCCCUGCUACACCCAAUAAGUAUGUCUUAGCCAAUAUUUUCUUGUUUUUCUUUGAAUAUAAAUUUGAAUAAAUAUGAUAUAAGUCUAUGGAUGACCAUGAAAUUUUCAAUUGAAGAGAUUGUUUAUAUAGUCAAAGAAUGCAGCUAAUCAUUUCAAUAUCUAUAAAUGUUGAAGAGAUUGUUACAUGUUUUUUUUCCAGAGAAAUUGAAUGUAAGAACAUAAGUAGUUGGUAAAUUCAAUAAAAAAAAUAGUAAAAAAUAAGGCCACAAAUAGUAGUAAAUACACGUCAUAAAUCACAAAGAGAAUCUAGAAAAUGCAAAAAAAAUCGGCCCAAUGUGCUGAAGUUUUCCAGGAUAUUUCUAAAAACUUCGGCACCUGAAAAGCUGAAGUUUGUGUGAUGGAUUCAUUAGUUUUUGUCCUAAAGCUUUUUCAAAAAACUUUGACCCAAUGUGCUGAUGUUUUUCAGUAUAUUGGAAACUGAAGUUUUUGUCUUGGACUGGAUAGUUUUUGUAGUAAAGAAUUUUCAAAAACCUUCAGCCCAAUGUGCUGAAGUUUUUUAGUAUAAUUCCAAAAACUUCAGCACCGGAUAAGCUGAAGUUUUUGUGAAGGACUCAGUAGUUUUUGUCUUAAGCUUUUUAGAAAAAUUUCAGCCCAACGUGAUAAGUUGUUUAGUAUAUUUCUAAAAACAUUGGCACCUGAAAAGCUGAAGUUUGUGUGAUGGAUUCAAUAGGUUUUGUCUUAAAGCUUUUCUAAAAAAAUUCGGCCUAAUGUGUUAAAGUUUUUUAGUAUAUUUCCAAAAACUUCGGCACAUGAGAAGCUGAAAUUUUUGUGAUUGAUUCAAUAAUUUUUCUCCUAAAGCUUUUUAAAAAAACUUCGGCCCAAUGUGCUGAAGUUUUUCAGUAUAUUUAAAAAAACUUCAGCACCUGAUAAGCUGAAGUUUUUGUGAUGGAUUCAAUAGUUUUUCUCCUAAAGCUUUUUCAAAAAACUUCAGCCCAAUGUGCUGAAGUUUUUUAUUAUAUUUCCAAAAACUUCAGCACCUGAUAUGCUAAAGUUUUCUUAUGACUUUUAAACAAAACUUUAGCUUAAAAAGCGGAAGUCAUACUUAAGUUUUUUCAACAAAAAAUGUACUUAAAAUUCAUGAUAAAAGACACAAACAUAUUUGUAUGACACAAAAGUGAACUAAAAAUAUAAUUAAUGUAUAUUACAAAAUCUAAAUUAUGUACAACCAAUCCUCUAAUAAAACAAUUCACAUAGAGUAUCUUCAAAAUCUCCAUAAUCAUGUCUUUCUCGUUCUUCUGGAGUUUCAUAUUCGCUAUAUUUUUUCCACUUUCCAUGAGCCCAAAGAUUGGCAACCAAUUCUCGACUAAAUGACAAUAUUUGACUUUGAUCAAAAUUGAAGACAUCUUCUCUCUUCAACCGCAAAUCAAUAAACUUAAGAACAAAUAUACCAGAAUCAACACUGAAAAAAACACAUGAAAAAGAAAUUAAAGAAUAGUUAACCCAACGGCAGAAAUUAAUAAACAUAAGAUGUAUGGUAAAAUAUAUGUGAAACACGUACUUGUUAGUUUGUUCUGGUGUGUUCAUCCACAUAAUAUUGAAUUUUUCCACAGGAUUUUUCCCAUAAUAUUCAUUAUGUUCCCCAAAAUUCAAGCAAUUGAAACAGUGUGGGAUCAACCAGGCAUAAAUUCUGACAUGUUGAAUUGAACGGUCGUAUGUUACACUGCCCAUGGAAUCAUACACAGAUAUAAUUUUAUCUUUAAAGUGCAAAAUUCUGAAAAAGUAGUGGGUAGAUUUUUGGACCUCUCUUGGCUUAAGUCGAAAUGGAAAGAAUACUUUUUUGGCAGAUGCCCAUAGAUACCACAUGAAAGGUCGAGGCGUUUUACGUAGUUGACCACCUUUUCAUUUGUUGAUUAUUCCUCAUACCAACUAAAGUACGUAAGUGGCUUAAUAAGCGCUUCUUCUUCUUCUUCUUCUUCUUUUUCAAGUUGUUGUUUGGAUAUCCUCUUUCUAUUUGAUUUACUCUUAAGAACAUCCAUUCUUGUUUGCUUCAUUUUGUUAAUUAUCUUCAUCUUUUCUUCUGACGGAUGAAUACUAUCCAGGAUAAUCAUAUAUUGAUCGAAAAGUAAAUCUGCUACUGCACAUCUUGAUUUGAAUAAUGUGGAAGGUGAUAGCAAUAUUUUUUGCGCAAGUAAUAAAUGCCUACAUUAAUAUGCUGAAAAUGAACAACGAAAAGUGAUAACAUGUAAAAUUACUACUAUGAAGUUUAUAAAAAAACACAUUAUACAACCACAAAAGAGCAUGACAAAAACUUAAGCAUAUUUAAUUGUUAGGCUGAAGUUUUAGCAAAUAAGCUAAAAAUCUUCAGCAGUUUACUAUGAAUAAUUCCAUACAAUAAAAAAUAAGAUGAACUUUUGGGAAAUACAGUUGAAAACUAAUCCAAAAAAUAAACUUAAUAACUUGCUUCAUCCGCAAAAUCAAAGUCAUAAUCCAUAAGCUCAGUACAGAAAGAUUUCGGAAUAUCAAGUCCACCUAAUCUGAAUGGAUUGGAUUCAUAUUCACUGGAAUGCAUCUCUAACAAAUCUUUAAAUCUCUUAAUCAAUCCGAUGUCUUGACUAACAUAAUGGAAUGGACACCUUCUUCUAUUCUUUCCUACUUUCCAAUCUUGCCGCCUUUGCUUUUUCUUAUAAACUACGUAAGGAGAUCUUAACCAAAGACUCUCCAUACAAAUCAUUUUCCCCUUUUUAUCUAAUUUUGUUUUUGCUUGCUCUUCCUACUGUUUAAUAGCAACUAAAUGCUUAUGUUCAGCAGCAGGGGGAAAACUACAGCUAUUGUCGCAGAUGCUUGACCAAUUCCCUACUGUUCACGAUGUUCUUCUCUCUCUUCAAGAACAACAACAGUAACAGAAUUACCUUCUAAAUCACCCCCUUGUGUACUAUCAAGUGAAAAUGAACAUAAAUUGAAGUUGGGGAUAUCACUGGUGUGACACAUAGGAGAAGUAGAAAUCUUCCUUCUCUUAGGUUUUGGAAGAAGUUCCGAUGCAUCAGAUGAGAUCUGCAAAAGCAAGGAAAAUAUAAACAUAAAUAAAACUGAUAAAGAACAUACAUUAGGCAAAAAAAAUAGUUAUCAAGAUCUGCAAAAGCAAGGAAAAUAAACAUAAAUAAAACUGAUAAAGAACAUAUAUUAGGCAAUAAUAUAGUUGUCAUCGAAUUGCAGAAAAUAACUACCUGGUCUAAGUAUUACGACACACAUGGUGUUUGCAUUCCAACAGAUCUUGUAUCUUCAUGCAAAACAAAAAGAUAAUAAAUGAUACUGACAAAAUUUUAUAUAAUAAAACCAACACACUUCACACCUGACUGUGAGUUAAUAGGUGUGAAUAUAUGUAUUUCUCCUUUUUGAUAUUGCUGCACAAGCUCACCAAAUUCUUUUUGAGCUGCCUCCAUUCUUUCUGAAAAAUCAUUCAAAAACAUAAAAAAGAAAAUAAAAUAUGUAAAAUUUCAAACUGUAAAAAAUAUACUUCAAUCAAAUAUAAUAAAUUCAUGAUCUAUAGAAUACCUUGACGUUUGUCUUCAACUAGGCUGCAUGCCUUUCUCAAUAUAAGCAUUUUCAGCAUCAUUCAAUUGUGAACCAAUGUCGAGGACCAUUGCAGUAUUUUCUGGAAGGUUUUUCACAACUCUAACUUCAUUCAAUUGAGCAUCAUCAGAGAGUUUUUGAGUUGAACCACAACUAGUUUCAACUUCAAGUGCAUAUUCAUAAAAGAGGGGGAAUAGAUCAACUAGUUUCUCUACAUAUAAAACAUAGAAAAGAUUUAUUUCUGUAGUGAAAAUUUAACUACAUGAUAUUAUAAAAAAAAUAGUUAAGACUUCAACUCUAAGAAAGUAAAAUUUAGCCAGUCACAACAAAAACUUCGAUAGUUACAAAAAAAAACUUCAGCUUUAGAGUUGAAGUUCGACAAUUAUAAAUAAAAAACUUCAGCUCCAGAGCUGAAGUUCGACAGUUAUUAAAAAAACUUUAGCUCUAUAGCUGAACUUUUUACAAAACAUUCACCAAAAAACUUUCACAGUUACAAAAAAAACUUUAGCUCUAGAGCUGAAGUUCGACAGUUAUAAAUAAAAAACUUUAGCUCUAGAGCUGAAGUUCGACAGUUAUUAAAAAAACUUCAGCUCUAUAGCUGAAGUUUUUAUAAAACAUUCACCAAAAAACUUCGACAAUUACAAAAAACUUGUUUUACAAAAGAUUCACCAAAAAACUUUGAUAGUUAUAAAUAAAAAACUUCAGCUCCAGAGCUAAAGUUUGACAGUUAUUAAAAAAACUUCAGCCCUAUAGCUGAAGUUUAUCUAAAACAUUUACCAAAAAACUUCCAAAGUUACAAAAAAAAAAAACUUCAGCUUUAGAGCUGAAGUUCAACAGUUAUAAAUAAAAAACUUCAGCUCUAGAGCUGAAGUUCGAUAGUGAGCUGAAGUUUUUACAAAACAUUCACCAAAAAACUUCGACAGUUACAAAAAACUUCAGCUCUAUGCUAUAGUUUUUACAAAACAUUCACCAAAAAGCUUCGACAGCUACAAAAAAAAAACUUCAGCUCUAGAGCUGAAGUUCGACAGUUAUAAAUAAAAAACUUCAGCUCUAGAGCUGAAGUUCGACUGUUAUUAAGAAAACUUCAGCUCUAUAGCUGAAGUUUUUACAAAAAAGUCACAAAAAAACAUGUUGUAGUUUUUACAAAAAAACAAACACAUGAAACAAAAUUUCUGCUCCUAUCUAAGGUAUAAUUGAAAUAUUAUAAACUUCAGACUUUGUACCUAUAGUAACAAUUUCCUGCAUAUCACCACCUACAAGUUCUUUGCAAAUGGCUAGUGCUCCUGCAUAUCGAUCGUCUUUCCCAAAAUAUCAUGAAUAUGUGCUUGAUCUCCAUUACCUUUUCCAAUAUCACUUCCCAAAGCGCAACUCGGUGCAUGUUUUUGAUGAACAUGUUCAACAGCCGCUUCAUUAUGCAUAGCAUUAUCAUCUGCAACUUUACGCAAUGCAUCAUGAGCAGUAUGUUCUUCAGUCUCAACAACUUGAUUAUCUAUAACUUGCUUGGUUCCAAUAUUCUCAGUUGAUAAAUGUGCUUCAUCAUUUACAUCUCUGCUCAAUCUAUUAGCACUGCAACAUUGCUCUUCAACUUGUUCUUGAACAUUUUGAUCGCCUUCAAAAGCCGGUGGAUCUUCGAAACAGUCAUUCAUCUUGUCAUAUUCUCGAUCCAUUCUAUUUGAUUUGUUGACAAUCGUAAACAACUGUUCAAACUUCUCAUUGAAAUAUUCUGUCAUAUUCUUGGUGCUUACUCAAACCAUUUCGUUUAUUGACAAUCAUAAACAACUGUUCAAACUUCUCAUCGAAAUAUUCUAGAGAAAAAUUACUAAUAAUGAUUAAUCUGAAUAACAUCAACACAAAUAAAAAGACUUCUCUAUAAAUUAGCUUACCUUCACUUUUACAAAAACUGUGUCAACAAUAGCAGUUCGCUCCUCCUUUUUAAACUUAUCAAAAACUUCAAUCACAAUCAUGCUUCUUUCUUUUUCUGCAUGCCUUUGAACCUCCAUCAUUAACCUCUAGAAUAGAUAAACAACAAAAAUUCAGAUAUAGAAGAAAAACUUCAGCUCAACAAACAGCUGGUACUUUUUACAAAAACAAACCCAAAAAACUCCAGAUCAAAACUUACAGAGCAUAUUGUGUCAAGUAAUUCAUUGUCAGAUGUAGACGAGGUAGAACAACUCUUGGUACGAGAUGCUUCGCCAAUAAAAUGAGGUGGAUUCUGUUCUUUUGGUUGAUUCCGAGUACGUGGUGAUUCACCGAUGACAUGAGUUUGAUUCGGUUCUUUUGAUCGACUCAGAGUAGGUGGUGAUUUACCAAUUAUAGGAGUUCGAUUCAAUUCUUUUGAUGGACUCAUAGUACGUGGUGAUUCACCAGUUGAAGGAACUAGGUGGUGAUUUACCAAUUAUAGGAGUUCGAUUCAAUUCUUUUGAUAGACUCAUAGUACAUGGUGAUUCACCAGUUAAAGGAACUGCAUCAACUACAUUUGAAGAAUCCGGCUGCACGGUAAUUUCCCAAUUAAAGACAUUAAAUUCAAUUCCUCUUUUGGAGGAAUUAUAUCCAAUACCCUAAAGUCGUGAUAUCUCUGUUUAAUACAAAAAUAUAUUAUGAGGACAAAAAAACUAAUACAUCAGCAUAUUAACACAAAGAUAAAAAAAAAAACUUACUUCAUGAGUUUUGAACAUAUAAUAAAGUUUGGAAAAUUUAGGCUCUCCCACGCAUACAUAGCGUAACAUACUAGGUACUUAAGGUGUAUCAAGGUACUCAUCCUCUCUUAUAUACUUCUCUCGUACAUCUGGGAAGCGCUCAUAGAACCAAGCACAUAAUGGAUAUAGAAAUCCACCAAGUUUAUACUCAGUUGUAUGGAAUUUGUUCUGCUUGUCCAAUGCCUGUUUAAGGGAAUAAAUGAGCCUCUCGUAAGCAAUAUUACCCCAAGGAUAUUCAGCGCAAACCUUAUCAUCUUCAACAAUAGAUGCAUACUCCUCCACCACAAAUAACUCAGUAUUUUUCCCAUACAUAAUAGACUCUACAACAAGAAUUUCCUUAAGUUUAACUGCAUCAUCAUCACUCUCUCAUACAUGUACAUGAUUCACAACAUUCUUUGGAAUUUCAUUGCGAGUCAUAAAAUUUCGAAUAUCCUUCAAAGUCACACCCUUGGACUUACCAAAAUACUGCUUUAAAAGAUUGCUCUCUUGAUUAAUUGGUCUUUCAACAUUAUGUGAUGUGAUCCACAAAUAACACAUAAUGUGAAAGUCUUCAAGGGUGAAGGAAACAUCAUGCCAAAAAAUCUUGAAACUGAUGGAGUCUCGAUCAUUCGUGAAUAUUCGAGAAAGACACAGACAAUGCACCAACUUCAUGCUGCAUUGGAAAUUCUCCAUAACCAUAAUGUAUCUAAAUGUAUCAUUAUUAAGCUUAUCCUGUUGAAUAGGGGUCAAGAAAGUUGCAAUUAAUUUCUUCAAAUCAUGGUUCUCCUUCCAGUAAGCCUUAGAGUUAAACCAAUUGCCAAACUCAUAAUAUCUUUCUCAUGGUUUGUAGGUGGAGCAGAGGGGACAUAAGGACCUUGGGUAUUAAAGGUAGUCUAGGUGCUUUUGGGGCAUUGUCUUUUUUUAGUUGCAUUAGGAUCCUUAGGUGCUUUAGGAGCCAUCUGUUCAAAGAAAAUAAAAGAUACAAAAAAUAACAUCAAGACAUUAUUAAAAAGAUCAGUUAAAACUUAAUAGCUAAGAAGGAUGAAGUUCGAGAGGUAUAAAAUAAAAACUUUAGCUAUAGAGCUGAAGUUCGACAGGUAUAAAACAAAAACUUCAACUACAUAGCUGAAGUUCGACAUGUAUAAAAACAAACUUCAGUUAUAUAGCUGAAGUUCGACAGGUAUAAAAAAACUUCAGCUCUAGAUUCGACAGGUAUAAAACAAAAACUUCAGCUAUAUAGCUGAAGUUCGACAUGUAUAAAAAAAACUUCAGCUGUAUAGCUGAAGUUCGACAGGUAUAAAAAAAACUUCAGCUCUAGAGAUAGGACAUGUAUAAAAAAAACUUCCGCUAUGCUGAAGUUCGAAAGGUACAAAAAAAACUUUAGCUCUAGAUUCGACAGGUAUAAAAUAAAAACAUCAGCUCUUGAGAUGGACUUCAACAGUAACAAAACACAAAAACUUCAGCUGUAUAAAUGGACUUCACCAGUAACAAACACAAAAACAUCAGCUCCUAAAGCAUCACUUCACCAGUUACAAACACAAAAUCUUCAGCUCCUAAAGCAGAAAUUCACCAGUUAUAAGCACAAAAACUUUAGCUCCUAAAGCCAAACUUCACCAGUUACAAGCACAAAACAUUCAGCAAAACAAUAUGCUGUAAUUGUCAGUUCCUAAAGCAUGACUUCACCAGUUACAAACACAAUUUCAGCUCCAAAACUUCACCAGUUACAAGAACAAAAACUUCAUCUCCUAAAGCUAAACUUCACCAGUUACAAGCAAAAAACAUUCAGCAAAAAAUAUGCUGUAAGUUUUAUAGAAAACAAAACACAAACUCAAAUCCAAAAAUAAUGCCAAAAUAUGAAAAAAAAAAAAACAAAACUUCAGCUCAUAUCUAAGAUAUUAUUGAACAAUAAUCACAGAAGAAAUUAUAGAAUUUUCAUUAACAACAUAAACACUCAUUCAUAAAACCUAAAAACACAAUCGUAAAAUUAAAACUAAUGCACUUAUCAAACUAAACACUAUGAAAACAUUUUAUCAUAAAUACAUGACUAUCAAAACCAAAAUAAUAGAUUAAAUCGUAAAAUAAAACCCACAAAGUUAAUGCGAUGUACCUGUGAUUAAAUCGUAAUAUGAGAACAACGACGACUAGCAGUUGGAAAAUAAAAAACAACGAGGAAGCCGUUUGAUUUCAGAGAGGAACUUCAAAAAACGUGAAUAACGGGAGAGAGAGAGACAGAGAAAGUAGAGGACUAGCGAAUACGUGGAGAGAAAGUAGUCUUUUUAAUAAGGGCAAAAUGGUCUUUUCAAAUAGUUUUUAACAAAAAAUGGGUAUGAGUGCAAACAGAAAGACAAAGCGGCUAUAGCUUAAAAAGGGGGCCCCAAAUAGGGCGCCCUGUGCAAUUUUUACAAAAUACAAAGAGUUUAUUUCUUAUCUACGAUCCUUAUCUUCCAGCGGUAGAGACUUCAAUUUCACCUACCACCUUGCCUCCGAUCCUUCUUAGAUCUGGCCAGUUCUAAGAUUUUCCGGCGUUUUGUUAUUGUUUUAACGGGUAAAAAUCCAGAUCUUCUUAGAUCUAGGAUUUUCCGGCGACAGAAUUCGAUCUAUGAAGUUUUCGGCUAGCAUUUAUCAUUAUUUUUAGACUAUAAUUUGUAUGGGUCAAUUUAUAAAUUACCUGUUAAAACUUAUUUUACCUGAUAUGCUAUAAAUAAAGUUCUCUCUUAAUUAUUCCAUAUCAAUGCACAACCCAAUAGGUCCUAGCCGUUUGGGCUUGGCUCAUGUUUGGUGGUGGUAGUCCAGUUCAAGAUAAAAGAAAAGAGUAUUUUCUAUUGUUCACAUUUCUGCAUGAUAAAAAUUGACUUGUAGUGAUGGUGCAGUUUUUAACUUCCACUUGAGUAAAAAGAGAUUCUGAAUGUGAUGUGAUUUCAGUAGGGAUUUGUGCUGUAGUGUGGGAAUUAUUUUCUUUUCUUGCUUUCUCGGCUUGGUCUCGCUCCCUUCCCGCAUUAUUCCUCCCCACUAAAAAGAGCGAUUGAGAAUCUCGAGAACCUUUCCGAACGUCUGUCUUCGCGGGGCGAUUGGAAAAGAAAGGAGUAUUUAAUUCUUUUACUGCCUUCCAUUCCACUAUUCUGAUCGAAUUAAUUGCUCUUCCGAACGACCAAGUCAUAAUGAGAUUAAAAACCGAUGCUUCCUUGGCCGUGUGGAACAUGGAUUAGCAUUAUGUCAUUCCUACAA